rnacentral:rRNA from 1 species
UGGGGAAUAUUGCACAAUGGGCGCAAGCCUGAUGCAGCCAUGCCGCGUGUGUGAAGAAGGUCUUCGGGGUUGUAAAAGCACUUUUCAGCGAGGAGGAAGGUGGUGGACUUAAUACGUUCAUCAAUUGACGUUACUCGCAGAAGAAGCACCGGCUAACUCCGUGCCAGCAGCCGCGGUAAUACGGAGGGUGCAAGCGUUAAUCGGAAUUACUGGGCGUAAAGCGCACGCAGGCGGUUUGUUAAGUCAGAUGUGAAAUCCCCGGGGCUCAACCUGGGAACUGCAUUUGAGACUGGCAAGCUAGAGUCUCGUAGAGGGGGGUAGAAUUCCAGGUGUAGCGGUGAAAUGCGUAGAGAUCUGGAGGAAUACCGGUGGCGAAGGCGGCCCCCCUGGANGAAGACUGACGCUCAGGUGCGAAAGCGUGGGGCAGCAAAACAGGAUUAGAUACCCUGGUAG